GGAAGUAAAAGUCGUAACAAGGUUUCCGUAGGUGAACCUG
rnacentral:rRNA from 1 species